GCUGGGUGUGGUGGCUCACGCCUGUAAUCCCAGCACUUUGGGAGGCCAAGGUGGGAAGAUUGCUUGAGCCCGGGAGUUUGAGACCAGCCUGGGCAACAUAGCAAGGUCCUAUCUUUU
rfam:Homo sapiens chromosome 14, GRCh38 reference primary assembly.